rnacentral:SRP_RNA from 1 species
ACCCUGCUCCAGGGCGGCCACACUGUCUUUCUGCUCUUGCUGGGCUGCAGCCUAGCAGCAGCCACUGUGACAACACCGUGUGUUGUGUGUCCUGUUGUAGGCAAAACCCAGAUGAGGUUGAGCCUGGAGACGGAGCAGGCAAAUGGCACAAGUUUGCAGCUUUUGUCCAGCACCAGCAUUACAGG